AACGAACGCUGGCGGCAGGCUUAACACAUGCAAGUCGAACGCCCCGCAAGGGGAGUGGCAGACGGGGGAGUAACACGUGGGAACCUUCCUCGAUGUACGUAACAACUCAUGGAAACUUGAGCUAAUACCGUAUACGUCCGAGAGGAGAAAGAUUUAUCGCAAUGAGACGGGCCCGCGUCGGAUUAGCUAGUUGGUGGGGUAACGUCCUACCAAGGCAACGAUCCGUAGCUGAUCUGAGAGAAUGAUCAGCCACACUGGGACUGAGACACGGCCCAGACUCUUACGGGAGGCAGCAGUGGGUAAUCUUGGACAAUGGGGGAAGGCCUGAUCCAGCCAUGACGCGUGAGUGAAUAAGGCCUUCGGGUUGUAAAGCUCUUUUGUCAGGGACGAUAAUGACGGUACCUGAAGAAUAAGCCCCGGCAAACUUCGUGCCAGCAGCCGCCGUAA
rnacentral:rRNA from 1 species